rnacentral:lncRNA from 1 species
CCCUCAGCCUGCACUGCUCUGUCUCCCUGCAGGCUGCUCGCUGGACGGCCGGGAGUUUGCCAGCGGGGAGCCGGUGCCCAGCAGGGAGCCCUGCACCCAGUGUGCCUGCGUGAGCGGGAACGUGUUGUGCAAACCCACCGCCUGCCCAGCUGCCCCCUGCCCAGAGCCUGUCCGGAGACCUGGCGAGUGCUGCCCGCAGUGCCGGGACUGCCUCUCCGACGCCCAGCCCGUCCCGGACGGUGCCAUCUUCACCCCCCCGCAGGAGCCCUGCCUCAGCUGCCGCUGCCAGGUGAGCUGGGCACAGGGCAGGCGC